CAGUCGCCGCGGGAAUACGUAGGUGGCAAGCGUUGUCCGGAAUUAUUGGGCGUAAAGCGCGCGCAGGCGGAUUGGUCAGUCUGUCUUAAAAGUUCGGGGCUUAACCCCGUGAUGGGAUGGAAACUGCCAAUCUAGAGUAUCGGAGAGGAAAGUGGAAUUCCUAGUGUAGCGGUGAAAUGCGUAGAUAUUAGGAAGAACACCAGUGGCGAAGGCGACUUUCUGGACGAAAACUGACGCUGAGGCGCGAAAGCCAGGGGAGCGAACGGGAUUAGAUACCCCCGUAGUCCCUGUCUCUUAUACA
rnacentral:rRNA from 1 species